rnacentral:rRNA from 1 species
AUUGAACGCUGGCGGCAGGCCUAACAAAUGCAAGUCGAGCGGAGCGGCGGACGGGUGAGUAAUGCCUAGGAAUCUGCCUGGUAGUGGGGGAUAACGUCCGGAAACGGGCGCUAAUACCGCAUACUAUCAGAUGAGACUAGGUCGGAUUAGCUAGUUGGUGGGGUAAAGGCCUACCAAGGCGACGAUCCAUAGCUGGUCUGAGAGGAUGACCAGUCACACUGGAACUGAGACACGUUCCAGAUUCCUACGGGAGGCAGCAGGGGGGAAUAUUGGACAAUGGGCGAAUGCCUGAUCAAGCCAUGCCGCGUGUGUGAAGAAGGUCUUCGGAUUGUAAAGCACUUUAAGUUGGGAGGAGUUUCCAACAGGAUAAGCACCGGAUAACUUCGUGCCAGCAGCCGCGUUAAUUC